rnacentral:tRNA from 1 species
CAAUAUAUAUUUUAUUAGUAAAAUUUAGAUUUUGGGUAUCUGAGAUAUGUAUUAUUACAUUAUAUUGA